GACGAACGCUGGCGGCGUGCUUAACACAUGCAAGUCGAACGCUGAAGCUCAGCUUUUGUUGGGUGGAUGAGUGGCGAACGGGUGAGUAACACGUGAGUAACCUGCCUCCUUCUUUGGGAUAACGCCCGGAAACGGGUGCUAAUACUGGAUAUUCACUGGUCUUCGCAUGGGGGUUGGUGGAAAGGGUUUUUCUGGUGGGGGAUGGGCUCGCGGCCUAUCAGCUUGUUGGUGGGGUGAUGGCCUACCAAGGCUUUGACGGGUAGCCGGCCUGAGAGGGUGAACGGUCACAUUGGGACUGAGAUACGGCCCAGACUCCUACGCGAGGCAGCAGUGGGGACUAUUGGACAAUGGGCGCAAGCCUGAUGCAGCGUCGCCGCGUGAGGGAUGGAGGCCUUCGGGUUGUGAACCUCUUUCGCUCAUGGUCAAGCCGAAACAAUGGUUGUGGUGAGGGUAGUGGGUAAAGAAGCGCCGGCUAACUACGUG
rnacentral:rRNA from 1 species